rnacentral:misc_RNA from 1 species
AAUUUAUUAAAUUUUUUAUGCUAGAACAAUUUUCUUCGAAGAUAAAUGGCAUUUCUUCUACAUUUAACAGAAGGGUGGGAUAAAACAGGAAGCCCCCAUUGAGUGGAGAAUAUGAUAUUGGGAUAAAAAUCUUCCAUCUUGAUUCUGCUAAUAAUAUCUGCAUAGACUGUGGCAAUCCUGCUUGGCAAUACCAUCACAGACAAUGCCUUAAAUGUGAGUUUCCUGGACCGCGAUAAGCGAAGACCCUUUAAUCCUCCAUUCAUUUUCUUCAACCAAGAACGCCUUCUAGGCUUUGCCAAUUUUUCAUCAGAAGAAAUCAGCUUCUCAUACCGGUACCUCAAGUGCAAUCCAACAAUAUCUUGGAUACCCAUCUGCAGAAUUCAACCCUCUGCUAGUUGAAAAAGACUUGGUGGGCAGCUAAGCUAAGCAAAGAACUGUAAGUAUAUAAAGAGAGGAAAUGGAAGUGCAGAGUGUGCAGAGUUCAUGCAGAAUCUGGCUUUAAUGUUCCUUCAAAUGCAUACUAUGAGAACAAGUAGGUGAAGACUGCCUUAUUUUGAUUCCUUAUAACACAUGGGUGGCUGCAUUUUUUAAUUUGGUACGCUCCCCAUUGAGGAGGAGAGAGAGAGAGAGA